GGAGAGUGAUUUAUCUCGGUGGUAGAGCCCCUGUUUGGCAAGUAGAAGGUCCGGGUUCAAAUCCUGGGAGUCUCCA